rnacentral:rRNA from 1 species
UACAGAGGAGCCAAGCGUUGUCCGGAUUGACUGGGCGUAAAGCGCACGCAGGCGGCCGCGCGCGUGGGGUGUGAAAUCUGGCCGCUUAACGGCCAGGCGCCAUCCCAUACGGCGCGGCUGGAGCCAUGCAGAGGGCGGUGGAAUUGCCGGUGUAGUGGUGAAAUGCGUAGAGAUCGGCAGGAACACCUAGGGGGAAACCAGCCGCCUGGGCAUGCGCUGACGCUGAGGUGCGAGAGCGUGGGGAGCGAACCGG